AUGAUGGUAACUGCCUUGGAGUGGGAAGAUGGCCCAUCUUGUGCUCUUUUCUCGGAGGGGACCGAAGACUAUGAGUGGAUGAAUCAAAAAGUAGACAUACCAGUCAAGCAUGUGCAGACAGCAAAUGCUUCUAGCUCUGAUGUGCAGAAUUCAAUCCCAUCAGUGCCAAACUUUGACAACACUCCUCAAGUUGAAAGGCCUAGCAACCUCCCAAUCGCAACAUUUGACACAGCUCCAAAGCUCCCUAGGGCAAACGACAUUCCGGGGCCUGUGUUUGAUGUGUCCCCCAUCUCAUUCAAAAACGCUUCCUCCGAUGGACCUCAAGUAGUAGUGGAUUUGCACGAGACAACCGAGGCGAAUGUUGAGGUCAGGGGUGAGUCCAACAGUCUUGGUAAACAGACAAAGAAGAAAAGGGUGGCUGUCUCCCCAGACAAUGUGCCAACGAUGAAGAAGAUUAAGGUUGAUGCACACGGUGAUGCCUUACACCAUCAGUAUGUAAUGACCAGAUACAAGACAAGAAAACCAAAGAAAAACGAGCUUCUGCCCGACUUCAUUGAAAUAGAUGGCUUCCAUACAUCUCUCGAGAAUUUUCAUGCAUCUCUAAAGCCAAGAGCGGAGAUUGACAAUGAGGUCAUGACCUUAUACCUGAAGACAUUCAAGUAUGAUGAGUCAGUGAAGAAGAAGAAGCCAAAAAAAAUUGUUUUCUCAGUGUUGAUGAGUUUGAAACUCAGUGCUGAGCCAGAUGUGUUUGAUCCGAAGGUGUGCGAAAAAGAAUUUAAGAAUGCUUGCUUACAAAAUCACAUUUCAAAAUCUGACCUGCUAUUCUUCAUGGUUGUACACAAAAGGCACUGGGCAGUAGUAGUUGUUAACAUCACCCAAAAGGAGUUCAAUAUCUUUGACUCCAUUAGGAACUCGGAAGACCUUUUUGAGAUGGACAGGAUCACUAAGAAUGUGGUCGCAAACAUCAAGAGUGUUGCAAUGAGGGAGCCACUUUUUAAGCACAAUCUCGAGUCUUACUCGCUAUUCACCCCACUUGAUUACCCUCAACAAAAAACUUACUAUAACUGUGGCUACUAUAGUAUUUUAUACGUGGAGAAUUGGGAUGGCCUUGUUAUGCUGUCAUUUGGCGAGGAUUACAUCCCAAACCUUCAGAAACGCAUUGCAGCAGAUCUGUUGAGACACCCAAGCAACAAGUUGGACCCCGCGCAUCAGCUGAAGCUGCUUCUUCAGCGUUAG
rnacentral:rRNA from 1 species